CUUGAGGGGGAGUGUUAGAAGUGUAAAUAUAGUAGAACUCUAAUCCAAAGUGUAUUAGGAGUAGGUUAGGUUAUGUGUAUUAUAUAUAGGGCUCAUUCUAUCAUGUUUUAAUAUCAAUAUAUAUUUUUCUCCCGUGCUUUCUCACAUCGAGCAUGGUUCCUGGGGGGUUUUUGAGACACUGAUAUGUAUGGUGCAAGAUGUCUUGUCCGCUUCUAUAUGAUUUGCCAUGUUGUUAGUCGAAGCAUUCUUUUCUGACUCCGUUGUUUGAACUUUUACUUGCAGCCUGGAAACUUUUCUGAAACAGUUUUAACACUUGAAAAGGGACAUUACAAGGCUGGGAGUAUGGUUGACUGUUCUGGUCAUUAGAUGCAGCUUCCUGCAGUUUUUAAAGAAUGGAUGCAGGAGUGUUGAUAUUAGUCGCUUGAUUAUAUAGCGCGCUGAUCUUUCCCGGUGGAGCAGGGAACAACAUCAAAUAUUUUUAGUCAUUACUUACAGAGCAGGAAGCUCAAAAUUUCUGUGCUUCAUGUUUUUUUCAUCUCAAAUUCUCAGCGCGCUGUUUUAUGCCCCUCUUGUUCCAUUAGAGAUGUAAAAAUGGUCAUGUUUUUUUCUUCUCCCUUUUUUUACCCUUCAAGUAACUUUGCUGGAAGUGAAGUACGGUUCAGGCUUGAUUAACAUUCUACUUGUGAAUAUUUCCUUGAUAUAUGAACACGUUACACGUCACUGGGAAAUAUAGCGAAUAACAUUGCCCUGACCCAGGAGAAUCUUAUGUUUAUCAUUGACUAUCCAGGUUCUGAAUUUGAGAACUACACUCUCCAUGCUCCUCAACACUAUCUUAGCUUCAUUUGAGGAAAAAACAACUACCCAGUAUAGUCCCACAAAGUGGGGUCUGGGGAGGGUAAUAUGUAGACGGGCAUUACUCCUAUCCGAAAGGGCAGAGAGCCUGUUUCCAAUCGUUCCUCGGCUCAGUGAAGGAAAGGAAUAAUAAAAACAAAAACACAACAAAAGAGCAUUAGUAGCUUCAGCAGAAAUAGAGUAAAUAAUUAUCUAAACAUAACAACCAUAAAUAAAGUAGUAUUUCA
rnacentral:lncRNA from 1 species